rnacentral:rRNA from 1 species
UACGAAGGGGGCUAGCGUUGCUCGGAAUCACUGGGCGUAAAGCGCACGUAGGCGGAUCUUUAAGUCGGGGGUGAAAUCCUGGAGCUCAACUCCAGAACUGCCUUCGAUACUGGCGACCUUGAGUCCGGGAGAGGUGAGUGGAACUCCGAGUGUAGAGGUGAAAUUCGUAGAUAUUCGGAAGAACACCAGUGGCGAAGGCGGCUCACUGGUCCGGUACUGACGCUGAGGUGCGAAAGCGUGGGGAGCAAACGGG